rnacentral:rRNA from 1 species
UACGGAGGGUGCGAGCGUUGUUCGGAAUCACUGGGCGUAAAGGGCGUGUAGGCGGUCUGCUAAGUCUGAUGUGAAAGCCCGGGGCUCACCCCCGGAAGUGCAUUGGAUACUGGCGGACUCGAGUCCCGGAGAGGAGAGUGGAAUUCCUGGUGUAGCGGUGAAAUGCGUAGAUAUGCGGAGGAACCCCAGAGGCGAAGGCGACGCCCUGGCUCGUACCUGACGCUCAGCCACGAAAGCAUGGGGAGCGAACGGG